CCCUGCCCAAAAUAGACCACCGCCGCCUUCUUCCUCCGCCUCUCUCCCUCCCUCAACCCCGCCGCACCUCUUUCCCCUUCCUCCCAACCCUAAUCUCUUCGCUCCCCAUGAUAGACUCCGACGCCGCGCCGCCAACGCCAUCGCCGGAGGUGGUGGCCGCCGACUCCGCCGCACAGGAGGGGGCCGCCGCGAGGGUGGCGAGGACUCCGGGUGCUCGGCGAUGUCGCGAAGCGAGAUCUAGGCGGGCUCGGGGAGGCCGCGGAUGAGGUCGAGCAUCUCACAGCGGUACACCAGGAUGGCCUGCCCUGCGACGACAAGCUCCCCGAGGAGGCCGGGUACGGCCGGUGGAGGUCGGGCUGGUACACCCACAACUGUGGCGACGACGCUCCGGCCAAAUCCGUCCACCUCCGCCAUAGGUGAGCACACCCGGCCCAUGAGUUCCCCUCCCUCUUCUCUCCCUUAUUGCCUCCUAUCCGGCAUCCCAAACCCUUUUUCCCAUGAGCAUGAGUCCCUUCUCCCCAGUAGCCACUUCUUCGUAUCCUCUUCCAGAAGCGCAGGCUGCGCUGUGCAGGGCUCCGUCGUCUUGCUCGCACCUUAUCUGCUCGCCAAGAACGACUUCGAGCGCUGCCGCUGUGGCUCCGCAGUCAUCGUCAAUCGACAUCGCCAGGGUCGGUCCUCCCAGGCACGUCCCUCUCUCUCGAAUCCGAUCUCAUGGGAUUUGGUUGUGGCAUGCUAUUUUACUCGGAUUUGAGAGAGGGCAAUCCAAUCCAAUCCAAUCCAAUUCAACUAUUGCCUUAAAUCAGAUUAUAGUUUUCUUGGGCCUCGAUAGAGAGAUGAAGUCAAAUGGGCCAUGAUUAGAGAUAUGAUCACUAUCUGCAAUAGUGCAAUGGUAGUGCAUAGAUGAGGUGCAUGUUUUCUUCUUUGUUCUGUCAUGUGUGUUACGUCAUUUGGACUUGAGACCUUUCUGUGAUGGAUGUGAAUCUGGUUUCCUAAUUUGGAUGCAGACAAGUAACACAUAAUUUAUUUGUGCGCUUAAAUGAACUAUAGAACUUAAUAUUAUUUAUGUGCUUGCUCCAUUAAUUUAGUUUAUCAGCAAACGCUCACUGCUACUCUGCUAGACUAUUGAACAUCAGCAUCAGUGCUAACUGGCUUGGUGCUUCAGUUCUGUUAGUAAAUAAUGUAAACUUCAUUAUAUUUUUUCUUCUAAUAAUUUCAUAGAUUUUGGGCAAUCUAUAGAUUUUAUUGUUAUCUGUCCAUAUUACAAUCCCAUUUUGACGAAGCAAAGAAUGUGCACUGUUCAUUGCUUUCUUUUCAAUGCUACCCUGUAGUUAAUUCUGGUAUGCUGAAAUACUUGCAGAUCAAUGGGUUCAUAUGCUAUGCUGUCUGGGAUACCAGUCCAUGAUAAUUUUGAGCUAUUUAAUACCAUCUAUACCGACUGAUCAUAGAAGAAUAAUUGUUUGUUGAUUGAGCUUUGCGCACCAGGUCUGCAUCAAUUUCAGUCAAUUUCAAGGUUCUGCAGAAUGCUACUUUGUUUUUCACCUACACAACUGAUGCUGAUCCAAGACACAUAUCUUUGCUAAAGCCAAGGUAAAUUGCUUCAGGUGGAGGCGUCCAUGAACCAGGUGGCCAGAAACUAGAUGUGCCUCUACGAUCUGCCCUCCAAGCUACUCUGCCGUGUGCUCAACGUCGAGCUCAAGGUUCCUCCUCUUCCUGCUGCAGAGAGGUGCUGGUGAGCUCUUCCUGCAACCACUGACAAAUAUCACAUUUGCGAUUGCUUCUACUAGCUUAGUCCAAUGGUGCAUCUCCAUUUGUCUGAGCAUGUUGUAGAGAAUUGGGAAAACACCACAUACCCUAAGGCAGGGGGGGGGGGUUGACCUCUAAUACCCGCCCAUAGCCCCAUAGUAUAUUGCCGUAUGGCUUGGAGUACAAGUAAACUCAAUACAAGGGGAAAUGCAACAAUAUAUCUCUAAUACAUGUUCAGACAAAUAUUCUUAGAAACAUGAUUAAAAAACUGCUCUAGAAACAACAUCAUCUCCUGCUUGAGAUAAUUAUGCAUCAGUGCUUCUGUAGAAGCUUUUGUUCAGUUGUCCAUUCCUUUUAUUUUAGUACUUGUGUCUUGCUUGCUGAUCUUAGAAAUAAGUAUUUGAGAGAUUAUGUCCUGCUGCCUUUUUGUUCAGAAAUUAUAGCUUAUCCUAUCCUUUUGUCCAGAAAUAAGUACUUGUGGAUUGCUUUCUGUUACUUCUAUUUAAUAUGUGAAAGGUUUAGAAUUUAGAAGUAUUAGCCUCGUAUGCUCACAUUGAUCGUCAUUUCUUUGUUGUGCCAUUUUACAAGGUAACCGACUGUUGAUUCAUGAAGUUAACCUGCUUUUUCCCUGCAAGCACUAUGGAUUCACCUGGCAAUCACAUGAAGUGUUCAAGAAAAAUCACAUAGGCAUGACUUCACCGUUGAUGCUGCUGGUGCUGGCGUGGAGGGAGGCCUUGUGUUGCGCGUCAAUGAUGACGUGCAGGCCAUGAACUAGUUCAACUAUUGUCUUCCAUGGUUCCGGUCCAAUGAAUUCUGUAUGUCAAGCUGUGAACUACUAAAUGAAGUGCAGGCAGGAUGUUGGGCAAGAGCACGCGAGAUCCGGGCGCAGACGGCUACCACGAAUUGUAUUAUUUCAGGUGGGAAGACUGAAACUAGAGAAGGCAAUUCUUAGUCAAGCAAAACUUAUUGCUACAGACUUAGUUGAAUUAUAGUCGGAUUUGGUUGUGAUGUGUAUAUAUUGAGUAGGAGUGAUUUAUGUCAUUAUUAGGGGGGGUGAAAUGAAGUAGCUAGAAGUUGCAUUGUGUGUACAUAUUCAUAUUUAUGUAGACAAAUGAAGUAGCUAGAAGCUACAGGUAUGUUUGUGCACGGGUAUUUGUGACCAAUACAAUGCAUUUUUAUUCUAAUUUAUUAUUUUUAUUUUAUAAAUUCACAUUGGUGA